rnacentral:rRNA from 1 species
AUGAUUUCAAUGACUUACAUGCAAUUACCUUCUACGCAUAUCUUGUUGCAUCCAGUUUCACUUGCGAGGAGAAGUCCAUCUCUUAAGCCUCAUGCUUCCGCCGUAGCCGCUUCUUCAGCAAAAGGGAUGUUGCUGCAAGAUGCCGCCACAAAGAAACCGGAGUGGUCUCGAAGUAUAGCACCUGUAGCGCCAGUGCCACUUUCAAUGUCGAAACAUGCGUCCACAUUUAGCUUGAUUGUGCCCUCUGGUGGUUUCUCCCAGCCAUGUCUCCUAAUUCUGUUGUGUUUGAAUUUUGCUCUUGAGUAA